GCUCUUCUGCAUCUCGUGCUGCUGCAUGAAUUUCCCUGCAAAGAUCACCAUGUGGUUCGUACAUGUGGGUCCACGGUCAGGUGACCGCUGGGUAAACAGCGCUGGCAUUUUCCCAUGAGCUGCAAACGUUCAGAGCUCGGCGGUGGAAUCUGCACAUGCCUGGCAUGCGUUUGCCCCUCCUCUGCGGCCCCUUUCCCAAACACCCCGACUCCCCCGCUAGAUCCCUGCCUCCGGCGGGCAGAUCAGAGGCCUCUGUUUUCAGUAAGCACGUCGACUGGGUGGGACUGCCCAUAGACCCUCCAAACGUCCCUCUAAGGCCCAGGGGAACGGGGUGAGGUGCCCAGGAUUUCAGAGAACACAUUCUGGCCUUGCAGAGCAGGAGGGAAGGGGGCAUUCUCUCACAAUGCAUGGGGCCUUUCCUAAACUGCGACCUGCGGUCUUAGGGUUUCAUUACCCACAUGCGCGGGAGGGCUCUCUGGAGACCAAGACUGAGGUAAAAGCAGGGUACCCCAUCUUCGGGCUGCAGGCAGGGAGGAGGAGGGAAGGAGGGCAACCUCCCAGCCAGCAGGGAGAGGCCAAUGGAAGAGUGCAGACAGAAGCAGGUGGGCGGGCAUUGCCAGUGGGCCCACAACAGAGGCCUCCAGGAUGUUCUGAACGCUGUGAUGUGAGGGACCCAGGAACCAGUGCCCGGCUGCUCUCCAUUCUAGAAGUACUGGUUUUGUUCGUCGGAGCUGGGGGAGGGGGUGUCUCCUGUCCUGUGAAGUGCCAAUUCCCCCAGGAAGGGUGUGCUAUCAAGAGUUUACGGACCAGCUUCCUGUAGGACUAGGGCUCUUGGGGUUGCUGACAAGCAGGAGGAAAGAAAGGAGAAAGACAGAGAGUGGUGCCUAGUUUAUCUCCUUUGCAAUUAUGCCCUGGCGGCCUGGACAAGUGGUGAAACAGUCUCUUGAAAAGUAAUUAAGAAAGGCAUGCAAAAAUAGCUAAUAGUUUUUCCCUUAGACCUGACUUUCAUUUACCUACAAGCACCCUCAAAAAAAAAAAAAAAAAAAAACAGCCCAGAUUUGUUUAAAAGAACUGGAUGGUCUAUAAGGAGGUGGCCACGCAGGUGGGAGAAGAGCGGCUAGGGCAGGUGUGGAAAUGAGAUAGAGGAGACAUGGCCACGUGGCCGCAGCAGGGCGGGGAGCCACCUGGAAGGGAGGCCUGGAGGCUGUGGAGGGGGCGGCCAGGAAGGCGGAGGGCUGGCCCAACCUACAGCACGCGCCCAGCCCCAUUCCUGGGCUCAGCGGGUUGCAGGGAAAGCCUGGGGCGCAGCUCCGGGAGCGCUCUGAUCGUUAAUAGAAAGGAAAGGUAGAGAAUAUUGAAUUUCUGAUUAGGCCUGCUGCCUGAUGCUCAUAGGCUCAGCUCUGAGUCCUCAUGGACCACGGAUCGUUUUUAUGAGUGGUGAAUAAAUGAUUAUUAUCUCCAUAAUAUCCCCAGCAAAAGGGCCCAGCCGGCGGCGGCUCCAGCGCCAUCCCUCAGGGGGUGGGGAAGAGCUGGGCACAGCAGCCGUUUUCUGCUCCACAGUGGCUCUGGGACUUUCCAGUAAAGCCACACCUGAGAAGGUCAUGAGUGCAGACAGCCAGGGCCUCGUGCCCCUCCUGGCCUAGCUGGGAAGGGGCAGGGAGAGGGGUGUGGCGGUGUCCCCGCGGCCUGUAACUGGCACAGUCCCUCUCCACGCCAUCACGGCUCUGCCCACGACCCGCAUACCCACUGAGGAGGGUGCAGGCUCCCCGCCCCCUCUGAGAGGACGGAACAGAACCCCUGUCUGAAUCGCCCAUUUCUCCAGCAGACACCAGGCCCUGCUGCCCGCGGGUGUCCAGCCUGUGAGGCUCAGAGGCAGGGCCUCGUCUGAGCUGAGUUGGAGUGAUAAGGGGCCGCUUUACUGUCUGUUUGGUAAGCGGAUGGGCAAGCACCUUCCUAAAUGUGAGCCUGUCACAGCAUUUUCUUGUCCUACUGUCCCUCUGGGCACCAUCUCUAGACCCAAGGGCAGCGGAAGCCGCAGGCUGCCUGCCGGGGCCAGAUAAUGCAGGCACAGUGCUGCAGUCACAUUUAAUUUUCUUAAGCUGUCACAUCUCAGCCUUUGGAAGACACCACUCCCUGGAGAAGGGAUCUCAGCCUUGUCUUCAUGGUCCCCCUUCUGUGCGCCAAAUGGCUCCAGCUCCUAACGUCUGCGAUGGGUCAUCAAUUAGCCCGGUGAAUUUCAGGAUCACCAGCGUCCACCCGACACGAAGAGAAGACCCAGGCCAGAGCUUCCAAAGGCCAGCAAAAACCCCUGGGCCCUGGCACUGUCUCAGAUGCUGGCUCUAAGAAAAAGCAGGGCUUUCUGGUCCCCGUCAGCCUCUUGUGCAUGCAGUUUCCUUCCUCUGGUUUUGUAAUCUCUGUUAAUUGCCAGGCACUUUCCAUUGUAUGUGACUUCAUCGUGGACUCAAGGCUCCGUCAGUUCAGCGAGUGGGGACUGAGCCAAACAGUGUUCUGAUCAACUUCACCCUCCAGUGUGUUCUGGGCUCACUCAGCACAAACAGGCACUGCUUUUCCAUGCACGCGGCCAGCUCCCCGGACGAGCCUGAGGCCCCCUCUGCCGGCCGCCGGCCUCCAUGGCACCCAGCGACGGGCCCCGCGAGGUGGUGCCCGUCAGCCCAUCUGUACCUAUGGAAGUAAACUCAGAAAGUUAUCAGGCAUUUUUUCUUAGCACCCUACAAUAGCUGGGAAUGGGAACCCACGCCAGAAUUUGUCCGGCUGGUCACGGUUCACUUGGUGACCCCCACUCCGCUAAGCUGACUGACUUAACCAACCUUCUGUGUUUGUGUGCCACUUCCACGUACACAGUUGAGAUGCGUUCUUGGGGGGCGUCACAUACUCUGCAUGAAGUGUGGCAGCUCCUCCCGCAGGCGCCCGUGAGCCCUGUUGUGUUAGGUCCGUGUUCUGUUUGCUCCUUCACUCAGACAUCUCCGUGAGAGGCCAUGUUGAACACAGAGCCCUGCACAUAGCAACUGCAACUACUUCUGAAUAAAUGUGUCAAGGACUCUUUGAA